UUUUUCUAUAUGCUUUUUGUUGGGAAGCUUGCCAAUUUUUCUGAAAUAUUCUAGGAAGAAUUUCAUCUGUGAUUUCUGGUUUUUAGGAUUGAACGGCUAGAAUUGUUUGAUGAAUUUGAGGAGUGGCAUAUGAUGCAGGCAAAGUUGCCUAAAUGUCCUGCUUGGAACUUGGGAGGCUGGCUCACUGUUCAUAUGGACUAUGGAAUAGUGGUUGCAUUUCCAUACAAGCUCUUUUAAUUUAUAGAUCUAUCAAUGAUGCCAUGGUAAGUCCAUUGCCAUAAAAUAAAAUUUUAGGUAUUGGCUAAAGGAAUAUAAACAAUCUUCCCUGCAGCAUACGUCAUUUCAUUUGUCUGAUCCACUUGUAAAAGCUCUUUAGCUUUAAUUUUAGCUAUUUUAUUUAGUGGGAUUAAUACAAAUGUUAGCUUUCACCUGAAAUAAAGUACCCUGAACAUCUAAUAGCUGAAAUUAUUGAAGCAUACACCAUUUCGUUUGUCA